GGUUAAGCGACUAAGCGUACACGGUGGAUGCCCUGGCAGUCAGAGGCGAUGAAGGACGUGCUAAUCUGCGAAAAGCGUCGGUAAGGUGAUAUGAACCGUUAUAGCCGGCGAUGUCCGAAUGGGGAAACCCAGUGUGAUUCGUCACACUAUCGUUAACUGAAUACAUAGGUUAACGAGGCGAACCGGGGGAACUGAAACAUCUAAGUACCCCGAGGAAAAGAAAUCAACCGAGAUUCCCCCAGUAGCGGCGAGCGAACGGGGAGCAGCCCAGAGUCUGAAUCAGCUUGUGUGUUAGUGGAACGGUCUGGAAAGUCCGACGGUACAGGGUGAUAGUCCCGUACACCAAAAUGCACAGGCUGUGAACUCGAAGAGUAGGGCGGGACACGUGGUAUCCUGUCUGAAUAUGGGGGGACCAUCCUCCAAGGCUAAAUACUCCUGACUGACCGAUAGUGAACCAGUACCGUGAGGGAAAGGCGAAAAGAACCCCGGCGAGGGGAGUGAAAAAGAACCUGAAACCGUGUACGUACAAGCAGUGGGAGCACCUUCGGGUGUGACUGCGUACCUUUUGUAUAAUGGGUCAGCGACUUAUAUUCUGUAGCAAGGUUAACCGUAUAGGGGAGCCGCAGGGAAACCGAGUCUUAACUGGGCGUUAAGUUGCAGGGUAUAGACCCGAAACCCGGUGAUCUAGCCAUGGGCAGGUUGAAGGUUGGGUAACACUAACUGGAGGACCGAACCGACUAAUGUUGAAAAAUUAGCGGAUGACUUGUGGCUGGGGGUGAAAGGCCAAUCAAACCGGGAGAUAGCUGGUUCUCCCCGAAAGCUAUUUAGGUAGCGCCUCGUGAACUCAUCUUCGGGGGUAGAGCACUGUUUCGGCUAGGGGGUCAUCCCGACUUACCAACCCGAUGCAAACUACGAAUACCGAAGAAUGUUAUCACGGGAGACACACGGCGGGUGCUAACGUCCGUCGUGAAGAGGGAAACAACCCAGACCGCCAGCUAAGGUCCCAAAGUCAUGGUUAAGUGGGAAACGAUGUGGGAAGGCACAGACAGCCAGGAUGUUGGCUUAGAAGCAGCCAUCAUUUAAAGAAAGCGUAAUAGCUCACUGGUCGAGUCGGCCUGCGCGGAAGAUGUAACGGGGCUAAACCAUGCACCGAAGCUGCGGCAGCGACACUAUGUGUUGUUGGGUAGGGGAGCGUUCUGUAAGCCUGCGAAGGUGUGCUGUGAGGCAUGCUGGAGGUAUCAGAAGUGCGAAUGCUGACAUAAGUAACGAUAAAGCGGGUGAAAAGCCCGCUCGCCGGAAGACCAAGGGUUCCUGUCCAACGUUAAUCGGGGCAGGGUGAGUCGACCCCUAAGGCGAGGCCGAAAGGCGUAGUCGAUGGGAAACAGGUUAAUAUUCCUGUACUUGGUGUUACUGCGAAGGGGGGACGGAGAAGGCUAUGUUAGCCGGGCGACGGUUGUCCCGGUUUAAGCAUGUAGGCUGAUUGUCCAGGCAAAUCCGGAUAAUCAAGGCUGAGGUGUGAUGACGAGGCACUACGGUGCUGAAGUAACAAAUGCCCUGCUUCCAGGAAAAGCCUCUAAGCAUCAGGUAACAUCAAAUCGUACCCCAAACCGACACAGGUGGUCAGGUAGAGAAUACCAAGGCGCUUGAGAGAACUCGGGUGAAGGAACUAGGCAAAAUGGUGCCGUAACUUCGGGAGAAGGCACGCUGGUGUGUAGGUGAAGUCCCUGCGGAUGGAGCUGAGACCAGUCGAAGAUACCAGCUGGCUGCAACUGUUUAUUAAAAACACAGCACUGUGCAAACACGAAAGUGGACGUAUACGGUGUGACGCCUGCCCGGUGCCGGAAGGUUAAUUGAUGGGGUUAUCCGUAAGGAGAAGCUCUUGAUCGAAGCCCCGGUAAACGGCGGCCGUAACUAUAACGGUCCUAAGGUAGCGAAAUUCCUUGUCGGGUAAGUUCCGACCUGCACGAAUGGCGUAAUGAUGGCCAGGCUGUCUCCACCCGAGACUCAGUGAAAUUGAACUCGCUGUGAAGAUGCAGUGUACCCGCGGCAAGACGGAAAGACCCCGUGAACCUUUACUAUAGCUUGACACUGAACAUUGAGCCUUGAUGUGUAGGAUAGGUGGGAGGCUUUGAAGCGUGGACGCCAGUCUGCGUGGAGCCAACCUUGAAAUACCACCCUUUAAUGUUUGAUGUUCUAACGUUGGCCCCUGACCGGGGUUGCGGACAGUGUCUGGUGGGUAGUUUGACUGGGGCGGUCUCCUCCCAAAGCGUAACGGAGGAGCACGAAGGUUAGCUAAUCCUGGUCGGACAUCAGGAGGUUAGUGCAAUGGCAUAAGCUAGCUUGACUGCGAGCGUGACGGCGCGAGCAGGUGCGAAAGCAGGUCAUAGUGAUCCGGUGGUUCUGAAUGGAAGGGCCAUCGCUCAACGGAUAAAAGGUACUCCGGGGAUAACAGGCUGAUACCGCCCAAGAGUUCAUAUCGACGGCGGUGUUUGGCACCUCGAUGUCGGCUCAUCACAUCCUGGGGCUGAAGUAGGUCCCAAGGGUAUGGCUGUUCGCCAUUUAAAGUGGUACGCGAGCUGGGUUUAGAACGUCGUGAGACAGUUCGGUCCCUAUCUGCCGUGGGCGCUGGAGAAUUGAGGGGGGCUGCUCCUAGUACGAGAGGACCGGAGUGGACGCAUCACUGGUGUUCGGGUUGUCAUGCCAAUGGCACUGCCCGGUAGCUAAAUGCGGAAGAGAUAAGUGCUGAAAGCAUCUAAGCACGAAACUUGCCCCGAGAUGAGUUCUCCCUGAGACUUUAAGUCUCCUGAAGGAACGUUGAAGACGACGACGUUGAUAGGCCGGGUGUGUAAGCGCAGCGAUGCGUUGAGCUAACCGGUACUAAUGAACCGUGAGGCUUAACCUU
rnacentral:rRNA from 1 species